UGGGGAAUCUUGCACAAUGGGGGCAACCCUGAUGCAGCGACGCCGCGUGAGCGAUGAAGCCCUUCGGGGCGUAAAGCUCUUUCGACCGGAACGAUAAUGACGGUACCGGGAGAAGAAGCUGCGGCUAACUGCGUGCCAGCAGCCGCGGUAAUACGUAGGCAGCAAGCGUUGUUCGGAGUUACUGGGCGUAAAGAGUGCGUAGGCGGUUUUCUAAGUUCGGUGUGAAAUCUCCCGGCUUAACUGGGAGGGUGCGCCGAAGACUGGGAAGCUGGAGUGUGGGAAAGGCAGGCGGAAUUCCUGGUGUAGCGGUGAAAUGCGUAGAUAUCAGGAGGAACACCGGCGGUGUAGACGGCUUGCUAGACCAUAACUGACGCUGAGGCACGAAAGCGUGGGUAGCAAACA
rnacentral:rRNA from 1 species